UUUCCUAUUUUAUUGUAAAUUCUAUUAUUUACAAAAUCUGAGAUUUUUAUAUAUUUAAUUAAUC
rnacentral:tRNA from 1 species